AUAAGGGCUUGUUUGGUAGAAAAAAAUAUAAGUCCACUUUUGAAUAGGAAAAAAUACAGUACGAAGAGAAGAAACAAAAUCAAAAAGAAACGAGUUGGUUAGGAAGAUUCCGUGGAGAAAUAUGAGCAACAAAAUCCCGGAAUCGGAGCCAUCACCAAGCAGGAAGCGUGCGCGGAAUGAAGAACCAGAGCCCCAAUCCGAAAACGAUGUUGUAAAUUCACAUUCUCUUUCGUUAGAGGAGAAUUUCGCAUUCAGUGAUACACUGAUGGCGCUUCGGAUGAUGCGAGCUCAGUUUCCUCACAUUCAGAAGGUUUCAGUUCCGCCUUUUGUCUUGCAGUCGCAGUUGUACAGCAGCAUAAAAAAUAGGACUGAAGUGGAUAGGGAAAUAGAGUCUCUUAAGAGGGAAAAAGUGGUGCGGAUAUUUAAGUUAAACACUGGACAGGAUGAUCAUGCCAUAAUGUUUACAGACGACUACAUCAGUCAGAUUGAACGUGUUGUGAAAAGGAUGGAAGAAAACAGCAAAAAUGACCUUGAAGUUUUUGAGUGGUUCAAGACUCAUGUCGUACAGUCCAAGCUUGACCCCAGCAUUGGUCAUCAAGAGCUGUGGUCUAUUCUGUCGUUAGGUGGAAGGGUGAAAGAGGAACAUAUCUCUCAAUUAAUUAGUGCUGGGCUUCUUAUUCGCCAACUUAUUGAUCAGAACAUGUAUUGGUUUUCAAUUCCAAACAUUGGCUCAGUGCUCAAAGGUCUAUCACAGGGAAGGAAGGAGCUUAUGUCUCUUCUAAGCCGAAGAAAAUACAAGGAGAUGAUGAUGGCUGCUUUGGAGAUUAAACGCCUGAGAUUUUCUCCUCUGGAUAUGAGAUUUCACCUACGAGAUCUAAUAGGUUCGGGUCAGCUCAAAACCAUUCAGACACCAAGCGGCCUGAUUGUACGAGUUGCUAAAGAUUGAACUAUUGUAAGUAAAGAGCUGUUAGCUGCACUUCGUGUAAUGUUUAGUCAAACGAUGUGCACGUUUCCCAUUUCAGGUCACUGCGAUUUUCGUAGCAGGUCACUGCAAGGUUGAAGCCUCUGGAAGAUUGCUUCUUCUUCUGAAUCGCUGGCAGAUUUUAUUAAUUGGAAAACAUGACCUUUCUUGAUUUCUUGAAAUACUUCUUUCAGUUGUAGGUAUGAAAUUUAGCUUGUGUUGUAAGACUACAUGCUUAAUACAUCUAUCCAAUAAAAAUAUUUUAUUAUUGCCUCAA